GUUCCUCCCAAAGCCACGCCCCAAACCCCAAACACACAAACCAAAGCUAUUGUUCCUGAAUGUCAGCACAACAAGGUUUCUUCCGGGUUCUCUGGUUUCCUCCCACCUCCCAAAAACAUGCCGGAGGUUUUACUGGCUUCUAGGUGUGAAUGUUUAUGACGGCCUGCGAUGAAACUGCAUCUCAUCCAGGAUGUAUUCCCACCUCACACCCAGCGUUCCCGGGAUUCAGCUCAACCCUGACCAGGAUAAAGCACUUACUGAAAGGAAGAGAGAGAGUUUCUUUGCAGUGCAGUACCUUUUGGAGAUGGAGAAACUGUACAGAACAACAGCAGUAAAUUAGAGACCGGAUUAGAAGAGACGACUGACACUGGAAUAUCUAAUGCUGGACUUAGAGAAGCUGGUGUGUGCAUUUCUUUUGCUUCUUUGGCUGGAAGCUUCUUUCCACGAGUGAUGGGUUGUUUGUGAACGAGUCUGUUCCUUGAAUCUGUGAUUUUUAAGUGAUGGCUGAGAUCCAACUCACAUAACUCAUAUUACAUACUUCCUUUGUGGAGCAGCAUAAUUUUUUUUUUUAUUAAAGGAAUCCACCACAGUAGGCAUUUUAAUUUAAAAAAGUAUUUAUUCUCUCAGACAUCUGAAUCUUUUUGAGGUGUGUAGAAUUGAGUUAAUGCUUCUUGCUGUUUUAUACAUUUAUUGCUUUGUUUAAUUUUUAUUUGCAUUUUAUUUCAUUGCUCUUGACUUGAUUUUGUUGUACAGCACUUCGGCUGACACAU